UGGCUCAGGAUGAACGCUGGCGGCGUGCCUAAUACAUGCAAGUCGAGCGAGAUGUUAGUGCAUGAACCUUCGGGGGAUUAUAUUAACGGACAGCGGCGGACGGGUGAGUAACGCGUAGGCAACCUGCCCUUGACAGAGGGAUAGCCAUUGGAAACGAUGAUUAAAACCUCAUAACACCGUAGAAGCACAUGCUUCAACGGUCAAAGAUUUAUCGGUCAGGGAUGGGCCUGCGUCUGAUUAACUAGUUGGUGAGGUAACGGCUCACCAAGGUGACGAUCAGUAGCCGACCUGAGAGGGUGAUCGGCCACAUUGGAACUGAGACACGGUCCAAACUUCUACGGAAGGCAGCAGUAGGGAAUCUUGCACAAUGGGCGAAAGCCUGAUGCAGCAACGCCGCGUGAAGGAUGAAGGCCUUCGGGUUGUAAACUUCUGUUCUAAGGGAAGAAACAAAUGACGGUACCUUAGGAGCAAGCCCCGGCUAACUACGUGCCAGCAGCCGCGGUAAUACGUAGGGGGCAAGCGUUAUCCGGAAUUAUUGGGCGUAAAGAGUGCGUAGGUGGUUACCUAAGCGCAAGGUUUAAUUUAGAGGCUCAACCUCUACUUGCCUUGCGAACUGGGCUACUUGAGUGCAGGAGGGGAAAGCGGAAUUCCUAGUGUAGCGGUGAAAUGCGUAGAUAUUAGGAGGAACACCAGCGGCGAAGGCGGCUUUCUGGACUGUAACUGACACUGAGGCACGAAAGCGUGGGUAGCAAACAGGAUUAGAUACCCUGGUAGUCCACGCCGUAAACGAUGAGCACUAGGUGUUGGGUCCGUUAGGGCUCAGUGCCGCAGUUAACGCAAUAAGUGCUCCGCCUGGGGAGUACGCUCGCAAGAGUAAAACUCAAAGGAAUUGACGGGGACCCGCACAAGCAGCGGAGCAUGUGGUUUAAUUCGAAGCAACGCGAAGAACCUUACCAGGGCUUGACAUCCUGCUGACAGGAUCUUAACCGAUCCCUUCUUCGGACAGCAGAGACAGGUGGUGCAUGGUUGUCGUCAGCUCGUGUCGUGAGAUGUUGGGUUAAGUCCCGCAACGAGCGCAACCCUUGUCGCUAGUUACUAACAUUCAGUUGAGGACUCUAGCGAGACUGCCGAGGUCAACUCGGAGGAAGGUGGGGAUGACGUCAAAUCAUCAUGCCCCUUAUGUUCUGGGCUACACACGUGCUACAAUGGUCGGUACAAUGAGAGGCAAUACUGCGAAGUGGAGCGAAUCACCAAAACCGAUCCCAGUUCGGAUUGUAGGCUGCAACUCGCCUACAUGAAGUUGGAGUUGCUAGUAAUCGCAGAUCAGAAUGCUGCGGUGAAUGCGUUCCCGGGUCUUGUACACACCGCCCGUCACACCAUGGAAGUUGGGGGUGCCCGAAGUCGGCUAAUUAAUCUGUCGCCUAAGGCAAAACCAAUGACUGGGGUGAAGUCGUA
rnacentral:rRNA from 1 species